rnacentral:rRNA from 1 species
UACAGAGGUCUCAAGCGUUGUUCGGAUUCAUUGGGCGUAAAGGGCGCGUAGGCGGCCUGCUAAGUCGAACGUGAAAUCCCUGGGCUCAACCCAGGAACUGCGUCCGAUACUGGUUGGCUUGAAUCCGGGAGAGGGACGUGGAAUUCCAGGUGUAGCGGUGAAAUGCGUAGAUAUCUGGAGGAACACCGGUGGCGAAGGCGACGUCCUGGACCGGUAUUGACGCUGAGGAACGAAAGCCAGGGGAGCAAACGGG